rnacentral:rRNA from 1 species
UAAGUGAAGAGUUUGAUCAUGGCUCAGAUUGAACGCUGGCGGCAGGCCUAAUACAUGCAAGUCGAACGGUAACAGGAAAGAAGCUUGCUUCUUUUGCUGACGAGUAGCGGACGGGUGAGUAAGACCUAGGAAACUGCCUAGUAGUGGG